GCAGACAGAGAGAAAGAGAGAGAGAGGAAACAGAGAGAGAGAGAGAGAAGAUGGAGGUGCUACACACUUUCAAACAACCAGAUCUUACGAGAAUUCUAUUAUGGCAACAGGAAGAGGAAAGCCCUCACGAUUCAAUCCCCUCCCACUAGGCUGCUCCUUCAACACUAGGAAUUACAAUUUGACAUGAGAUUUGGCUGGGGACACAGAACCAAACCACAUCAUUUGGGAUUCCAGUUUUCUGCCUUGCUGUUGCCACCCUCACCUCUGGGUGCUUCCUCUUAGUAAUUUUUUCUCCUCUGACCCCACCCUGCUCUAUGGUUAUAAAUCCCCUCUUGUCUUAGUUGGAGUCAGAGUGGAGCUUCAAGGGAAUGAAAACAUUUUGCACUAAAAUAAAUUUCUUUGACACAUUUCAAGACAGCUAUUCUGAAAAGCAGGAAAUAUUAGAAAGGCCAAAAACUGUCUGCAGUGGGAAAGACUUGCAUGUGUAGAGAAAAUUUGCACUGACACAGCUGGGCUUUCUCUGAGAAUCUCCCUUGGAUAGGGAAAGAUUAACUGAGAAUCUGAUACCUUUAAAGGUCUAAAGAAAAACAUUUCCCAGCUGUUCUCUCUGAGGGCUGCUUCCUGGGAGAUUUCAUCUAAAUAACAAGACCUCCUUUGCUAGCCAGGCUUGUUCUUCUCUCCAUUCCAUAACCUGUGUUCCACUGGACGAAUUCUCGAGGUGUUUUCCAGAUUGGAGCUCAAGAGAUCUUCCCGGCUCAGCCUGCCAAAGUGCUGGAAUUACUGGUAUGAGUCACCAGGCCUGGCCAUCUGGCUGUUUUUCCUACUUUCUGCCUGUAACUAUUUUUUAGGGUCCUUUUCCACAUGUCUCAUGUUCAGAGUCUCUAAGGCAUAUGGUAUAGCUGAGCUGAUUCACCGCUGUCCUGUACAGAGCACCACGUUGGGGAAAGUUCCUGGUCUGUUAUGCCAUCAUGCAGCCAAAGGAGAGCUGCCUUUGCUCUGGUUUCACAUUCCUGUUUUAAAUAGUCAUGCCUAGAAUUACCUGGCUACAUUAUGACCUUAAUAAAAAAUCUAGUUUGUGAAGUCAUAGACUUUGCUUUUCAUAAAUCUAGAAUCUCUUUGUGUUUGGGAGUCUCACAUUCCAUUAGGGUCCCUCUUUCAGCACCUCACUAAGAGUAUUAAAAUUAAUUAAAAUUUUUGGAUGAACUAGAAUGUUUGUAGAAACCUCUAGCCAUUUUGCUGGUUCAACAGGAUAACCUUUGUUCAACUAAGGAACAUUAGUGUUAGUUUAGUCAUGAGGUUAAUAUUCCCCAUUUUUCCACCUCCCUUCUCCCAACCCAAAAUGUACUAGGCUGAGUGUUAAGGACCAAAUGCUAAUCACUUGGCCAAAGGGUUACUGGUAUCCUCACAAGUCCUAGGUAUUUUUCUCUAAUUGAGAGAAGAGGCUCUGUAUUGAUGCCUGGAUGUGGGAUUUUUAUACCUUCUUGGCAUCCAAGGUUGAAAAAUCAAUGAACGGAGAACGUAUGGAAAAUUCCCUAAAAAAUGAUGGGUCAUGCCAAGACUAUGGGUUUUUCUUUCCUUCUGUUAGUUAUUACAAUGAUUUUCUAGUGUGAAACUUGAGUUCUGCAUUUCUCAGUUUUUCUUGACUCUCAAACUAGCUAAACACUUCAUUCUUCGUUCUUAAGAGAUUGGCAACCAAUCAGUUUGUCCUGUGUGGGAAAUGCAGUGUUUCUCCUUUGGGUGCAUUUUUGAAGACCAAGGCAAAAACAUUACAGUUCAAUUUUAUUGUCUGUGUGGGUAAAACAUUUGAUUUUACUGAACAUGCUCCAUAGUUACAUGGCAGGAUGUUUUGAUUGGCAUAAAAACUAACCAAACUUCUAAAUGUGAAGUAGGUCACCGGAAGAGUACAGGACUCCUUGUGAGUUGUUUUUCUC
rnacentral:lncRNA from 1 species